CCCUUAGAUGUUCUGGGCCGCACGCGCGCUACACUGACGAAGUCAGCGAGCAUGUCCUACGCCGACAGGUGCGGGGAAUCUUGUCAAACUUCGUCGUGAUGGGGAUUGAUUAUUGAAAUUCUUGAUCAUCAACGAGGAAUUCCUAGUAAGCGCAAGUCAGCAGCUUGCGUUGAUUACGUCCCUGCCCUUUGUACACACCGCCCGUCUCUACUACCGAUUGAAUGGUUUAGUGAGAUCUUCGGAUUGGCGCCACUGCGGCUCAGCAAUGGGCUCGGUGGAUGCCGAAAAGUUGAUCAAACUUGAUCAUUUAGAGGAAGUAAAAGUCGUAACA
rnacentral:rRNA from 1 species